GAUGAACGCUGGCGGCGUGCCUAAUACAUGCAAGUCGAGCGAACGGACGAGAAGCUUGCUUCUCUGAUGUUAGCGGCGGACGGGUGAGUAACACGUGGAUAACCUACCUAUAAGACUGGGAUAACUUCGGGAAACCGGAGCUAAUACCGGAUAAUAUUUUGAACCGCAUGGUUCAAAAGUGAAAGACGGUCUUGCUGUCACUUAUAGAUGGAUCCGCGCUGCAUUAGCUAGUUGGUAAGGUAACGGCUUACCAAGGCAACGAUGCAUAGCCGACCUGAGAGGGUGAUCGGCCACACUGGAACUGAGACACGGUCCAGACUCCUACGGGAGGCAGCAGUAGGGAAUCUUCCGCAAUGGGCGAAAGCCUGACGGAGCAACGCCGCGUGAGUGAUGAAGGUCUUCGGAUCGUAAAACUCUGUUAUUAGGGAAGAACAUAUGUGUAAGUAACUGUGCACAUCUUGACGGUACCUAAUCAGAAAGCCACGGCUAACUACGUGCCAGCAGCCGCGGUAAUACGUAGGUGGCAAGCGUUAUCCGGAAUUAUUGGGCGUAAAGCGCGCGUAGGCGGUUUUUUAAGUCUGAUGUGAAAGCCCACGGCUCAACCGUGGAGGGUCAUUGGAAACUGGAAAACUUGAGUGCAGAAGAGGAAAGUGGAAUUCCAUGUGUAGCGGUGAAAUGCGCAGAGAUAUGGAGGAACACCAGUGGCGAAGGCGACUUUCUGGUCUGUAACUGACGCUGAUGUGCGAAAGCGUGGGGAUCAAACAGGAUUAGAUACCCUGGUAGUCCACGCCGUAAACGAUGAGUGCUAAGUGUUAGGGGGUUUCCGCCCCUUAGUGCUGCAGCUAACGCAUUAAGCACUCCGCCUGGGGAGUACGACCGCAAGGUUGAAACUCAAAGGAAUUGACGGGGACCCGCACAAGCGGUGGAGCAUGUGGUUUAAUUCGAAGCAACGCGAAGGACCUUACCAAAUCUUGACAUCCUUUGACAACUCUAGAGAUAGAGCUUUCCCCUUCGGGGGACAAAGUGACAGGUGGUGCAUGGUUGUCGUCAGCUCGUGUCGUGAGAUGUUGGGUUAAGUCCCGCAACGAGCGCAACCCUUAAGCUUAGUUGCCAUCAUUAAGUUGGGCACUCUAAGUUGACUGCCGGUGACAAACCGGAGGAAGGUGGGGAUGACGUCAAAUCAUCAUGCCCCUUAUGAUUUGGGCUACACACGUGCUACAAUGGACAAUACAAAGGGCAGCGAAACCGCGAGGUCAAGCAAAUCCCAUAAAGUUGUUCUCAGUUCGGAUUGUAGUCUGCAACUCGACUACACGAAGCUGGAAUCGCUAGUAAUCGUAGAUCAGCAUGCUACGGUGAAUACGUUCCCGGGUCU
rnacentral:rRNA from 1 species